rnacentral:rRNA from 1 species
UAGCUGUCUUAUAUAUAAGAUUUUAAACUUACUUAAGAAGUGAAAAUGCUUCUAAUAAAAAAAUAAGACGAGAAGACCCUUAGAGUUUAAAUUGAAUCUAUGAAUACAUAAGUAUCUGGUAAUAUUUUGUUGGGGCAACAGUAUAUCAAAUUAGUAUAUAUUAAUUUUAAAUCUAGAACAAACCGAAAAAAUUAAAAAAGAAUAAAUUACCUUAGGGAUAACAGCAUAAUUUUUAAAUAUUAAAAAGAUUGUGACCUCGAUGUUGGACUAG